rnacentral:rRNA from 1 species
UCGGGAAUUUUGGGCAAUGGGCGAAAGCCUGACCCAGCAACGCCGCGUGAGGGAUGAAGUAUUUCGGUAUGUAAACCUCGAAAGAAUGGGAAGAAUAAAUGACGGUACCAUUUAUAAGCUCCGGCUAACUACGUGCCAGCAGCCGCGGUAAUACGUAGGGAGCAAGCGUUGUUCGGAUUUACUGGGCGUAAAGGGCGCGUAGGCGGCGCGGUAAGUCACUUGUGAAAUCUCUGAGCUUAACUCAGAACGGCCAAGUGAUACUGCUGGGCUAGAGUGCGGAAGAGGCAACCGGAAUUCUUGGUGUAGCGGUGAAAUGCGUAGAUAUCAAGAGGAACACCUGAGGCGAAGGCGGGUUGCUGGGCCGACACUGACGCUGAUGCGCGAAAGCCAGGGGAGCAAACG